CAGAGAAGCCAAUCGGCAUCGCUGCGGUUCUGGGUUAUAGAGUUCCCACAGACCCGCAGAGAUUCAGAUCCUCCAGACCCCGAGGAUGGGGGUCCUGGCUCUGCAAACCCUCCUCCUGCUGCUCUCUCAGACCCUGGCCUUAACCGAGACCUGCGACGUGGUGAAUCCCAGGGCAGAGCCGCGGGUGCCAUGGAUGGAGCAGGUGGGACCUGAGUACUGGGACCGGAACACACGGAUCGUCAAGCGCAGUGCACAAGUGAUUCUAAACAACCUGCUCGGCUAGACCAGAGCGACGCAGGUAAGUGACCCGGGCCCAGAGCGAAGGACACGAGACACCCUCAUUCUCCAUGAACGGGUCGGAAUGGCCCAGCUUCACCCUAAGGCUGCGGGACUCGCGGGUCACGUAGACCUGGGGAAAGCCCCAGGGAUUCACUCCAGUUGGGUUUUCGAUUUCGUUGGGAAAAGGCUCUGAUCAAUCACCGCCCCUCAGUGUCACGCGGGGAAAGUCCGUGGGGCCGGACUGACAAGAGUGGCGGUGCCAGGAGCUCAUACCUACCAGACUCUCUGUGGCUGCAUCCUGGGGCCGAACCUGCGCCUCCUCCGCGGGUACUGUCGGGACGCCUACGAUGGUGGAUUACAGUGAGCUGAAAGAGGACCUGCGCUCCUGGACUGCGCGGACGCAGCGGCUCAGAUUACCCAGCGCUAAUGGGAGGCAUCCAGUGAGGAUUAUCGCUGUAGGGCCUACCUCUAGAAGGAGUGCGUGGAGUGGCUCCGCAGAUACCUCCAGUACAGUAAGGAGAAGCUACAGCGCGCAGGUACCAGGGGCUGAGGGUAUCUCCAUGAUCUGCCGAUGUCACUGCCUGCCUUCCCCCCAGAAGGGGAGUAAAAUUGGGCCAAUGCUAGAAUAUCGCUCUCCCCUGAAUCCAGAAAGGAUGGAAUCCCCCUGGGUUUCCGAAUACUGUACUAGAGAGUAUUACUCUCGGAGAUGACUUAAGGAUCCAGUUGUUACCAUCUAGGGGUGCUGGGUUCGUUGUCUCAGUUCAGCAAAGAAUUGACAGAACACAGAGAUAGCAAGCAAGCAGCGAGUUUAUUACAAAAGCUACAGAGACUUCUCGAAGCGAAAGGGCCCCAGAGCUGGGAAUCAGGUGUGUGUGGGGGGGCGGGGGUCUGCUCUUUUUAUGGUCUCUGAAAUUUCCUCCUAUUCUUAUCUCCUUCCCUGUCCACGUUCUCCUCAAUAUUAUUGAUUGAUGCCCCCUCUGUCCUCGGUGUCUGUUUUAGGUUUUCUAUUGGACCCCCCACUUGGAAGGAGGAGUAAGGAAGUGUCUGUCUAAUUGGGUCCCCUGCUUGUGUCCACUUUCCUCAACCAGGAAGUUGACCUCAUCAGAAGACCCUCUCCAUGCUCCUUUGUUUUGGCCCUGCCCUGAUCUCCUUCCUCACUUGUCAAUUUGCUCUUGCUGCCUAGGCCCUUCUACCUUUCCUUCACACUCUCCUGGAUUGGACAGUCCCAGAAAUAACUGACCAGCAGUUCCCUUUGACUCUGGCAGCAACCUUAGACAUUACAGAGGGACUUCUCUCAUGCUUUGUUCUCUGCCCCCAAAGCAGUGUCUUUAGAAGUCUGAUUCCAGUUUUUCCAAUCCCUGGAACUUCACUCAAGUCACAACUCUAGGUCCCUCUCACAGACUUGGCACCUCAUCCUGGGCUGUCUCACCCUGCUUCUAGAACUGUCCAGAUAACUGAGGACUGGCUAGUGGCUAGGUUUUACACUCUUUCCCAUCUUAAUUGUCCCAUCACUUAUUGGGAUGAUCAGAAGAAUUCUUCUUCAGUAGCCCAAGGGAGAUAAUGCGAAAUGUUUUAAUUUCCUGAUAUUUCUACAAUGCCCCCAAAGACACAUGUGACCUACCACCCCAUCUCUGACAAUGAAGUCAUCCUGAGGUAUGGGCCCUUGGCUUCUAUCCUAAGGAGAUCACCCUGACCUGGCUGCAGUGGGGAGGACCAGACGCAAGACAUGGAGCUUGUGGGGACCUGCAGGGGAUGGAAACUUCCAGAAAUGGGCAGCUGUGAAGGUACCCGCUGGAGAGGAGUAGAGAUACACAUGCCAUGUGCACUAUCAUGGGCUGUCUGAGCCCUCACUCUGAGAUGGGGUAAGGAGGGGGAUGAGGGCACAGAUCUGUCAUUAGGGCAAACAGGAGCCAUUCUGGAGACCCUCAGCAGAAUCAGGGAUGACAGCUAGACAUCAGGGCAUGAAUAGGUCAAUUUUCCUACAGUGAAAUACCUGAAGAUGGGUACUUAAUAAAGUAAAGAAGUUUAUUCUGGAGAUUCACAGGUAUGGCACUAGCAUAAGUUGGGUUCUGGUGACAACCUCAUAGCAGAUGGCACCAGAAUGGUAGGAGUUAGUAAAAGAGAGAGAAAUCACAUGGCAAGACUAGAAGCCAUAGAAAGGAGAGAGAUUCUUUUAGUAAUUUGUUCUCUAGAGAACUAAGGGUCCUAUGAGAGCAGACCCUCAGUGACCUAAGGACCUCCCACUAGGCACUACUUCCUAAAGAUCCCACCACCACAACACUACCACACUGGGAACCAAACUUCCAAUGAACCCAGGAGGACAAACACUAUCCAAACCAUAAUAGGGCCCCUCAGCUUUCCUUCCUUUCCCAGAGCAGUCUGCCCAGUCCAUCAUCCCCACCAUGGGAAUCAUCACUGGCCUAGUUCUCCUUGGAGUUGUGGUCACUGAAACUGUGGUCAGUAUUAUUAUGUGGAAGAAAAAGAAUGCAGGUAGGGAAGGAGUGGGGUCAGAGUUCUUGUCCCAUGAGGGGAUUUCAAAUGUAGGUAGAAAGGUGUCCUGUGUUAAUAGGAAGUACCAUCUACACACAAGUUCUUAUCCACCCUGAGGCCUUGUUUGCCUGAGGCCUCUUUUUUUUUCUCUACUUUUAGUUGUAGAUGGACACAAUACCUUUGUUUAUUUAGUUUUUUUAUGUGGUGUUGGGGAUUGAACCCAGUGCCUCCUGCAUGCAAGGCAAGUGCCCUACCCCUGAGCCACAACCCCAGCCCCUGGAGCCUCUUAUUAAAGCAUAUGAGUGUAAAAGAAAAGUUUAUCACUCUGGUGAUGGUGAUGAUGGGAAUCUGAUUCCCAGCAGUAGCAGGUAACAGAAGAAGGUCCCUGAUGAGGUACCUUCCAGGAAGACAGUUUCCUGACCCCUUUACCUCUUCUUUCCUCAUGGCUCCUGAUCCUGCUCCUGAUCUGAAGUCAUAGUUCUGGAAAUUUCCCCAGGGUUCAGGAUUUGCUAAUUCCUUUAGAACCUCAUGACUCAUGAUCAACCCUGGCUUCUCACAGGAUGUUUUCUUCCCCCAGGUGGAGAAUGAGGCAGCUACACUCAGGCUGCCUAUAAGUAUGCAGAGAAUUGAUCUCUGAGACCGUUGGGAACAGUGUAGACAGGAGCCCAUGGGGAAGAUCACCCAACCCCAUAAUUCCUGUUUUAGCCACAACUGUUAUGGGCCCUUUUUGCUCUGCUCCAGGCAGUGACAGUUCCCAGGCUUCUGAUGUAUUUCUCCUGGCUUGUAAAGUGUGAGAUAGCUGCCUUGUAUGGGACUGAGAAAUACAAGAUUUGUUCAAGUGCCCCCCAACAUUGAGAUUUUGGGAAGCUUCUAAAUUCUCUUUCUGCAACCGGCCUCUAAAAACUUACAUGUCUGUGUUCCAAGGAGUAUAAUGUGAGAAAAUGUGGACACGAGCCUAUCCCUAAGCAUCUAGUCCCUCUUGUUUGUCCUCUCAUUGUCUAAGUCAGUUUUCCAUUACUGUAAAAAAAAAAAAAAAAUACCCAAGAUAAUCACUUUACAAGAGGAAAGGAUUUUUGGCUAAUAGUUUGAGAUUUCAGUCCAUGAUCAAUUGUCCCCAUUGCUUUUAGACCUUUGGCAAAGCAGCAUGUCAUGGUGGCAGCAUCUAGCAGAGGAAAAAAAAGAGAGAAGAAACCAUGGCCACAUGACAUCCUUUGAGAGCACAACCCCAAUAACUGAAACCUCGCACAAGGCUCCACCUCAUAUUUUUCCCACCAUCUUCCAAUAGAACCACAUGCUGGGAACCAAGCUUUAACAUGAACUUUUGAAGGAAAUUUCAGAUCCAAACUAUAGUGUUACCCUUACAAGGUUCAGCCAGCCCUUGCACACAGGAAAUUUGUGACAUCAAGAGAUGAAUUUUCAGAUUUAUACAGCUCUUGCCCUCCUUCUAGAAGUGUUCCUUGGAUUGUACUUCCCAUCCACUUCCUAACCUUCUUAAAUGAACCAGAUUUGGGGAUUAGCAGAAAAGAGGGACUUUAUAAUUUCUCAUCAUAGAUAGAUUCCUGUUAAGUUUUUGUUUUUUCUAAUCACCUGUCCCUUUUCCCUGCCCUUAGUUCUAGUAAUCCUAGUGAUUGCUCCAAUCCAAACUUGUGGAUUUAUAAAGCAGAAUCUAAUUUAGACAUUUAUUGCUUGAAAUAUAGGGCCUAUGAUCCUAGCAUCUUGUUUGGUGAAGAGACAAAUGUACUCAUGUGUUGUGGAGUGCAGGGUGUGGGAAGUAGAGUGGGGGAAGAGAGGGCAGCCCUGACAUCCAGCUGCCAGGAAAACACUGGGCUUCACACAGAUAUUAGAAUAAGCAGACAAUGACAUUAAGACAGUGUUCAUAAAUUUAUUCCAAAUGUUCAAGCAGUUACAUGAGACACAUAAAAGAUCACAAUCAAAAUUCCAAAGAUAAAAUAAAAGCAUCUGAGAUGUCAAAUGUACAAAAUGUGAGGUGGGAUUCAUGGUAGACUGUACUGAAGAAUAAAAGAUCAGUGACCUUGGAGACAAAGAAAUAGAAACUUUUCCAAAAUUUGCAUAAAGCAAUUCUUACAAUAUAUUGUCAGGUUUAUGACGUAAUUUGAUAUGAUGUUUAAAAAUAUCAGCACAACAAAGAAGAAAUAGAGAAUAACAUCUUCAUAUCUCACUGAAAUUAAGUAUGAAUUUUGAAGUAGUUUUUGAUAGACAAAUUGUAUAAAGUAAGUCCAAGAGCAACCAUGAAGAAAACUAUAAUGAAAAAGAAUUAGAAUUAACAUAUUAUAGUAGAAAAUAUCCACUUAAUACAUGCAGAAUCAGUAAAGGAAGAGGGAGAAAAGACAUAAGACAAAGUAAAUUACAGACAAAGUUCUUUAACAUUAAAUGGAAAUGGAAUAAAUAAGCAAAUCAAAAGACAGAGAUUGUCACACUAGAUAAAUAAGAUUAAACUACACACUGUCUAAUUAGACACACUUACGAUUCACAGGCAUACAUAGAUAAAAAAGAUGGAAAGUAAUGGCUAUGGUGCCCUCUUGUAAUCCCAGCAACUCUGGAAGCAGAAGCAGGAGUUUGAGGCCAUUCUCAGCAACUUAUUGAGACCCUGUCUCAAAUUAAAUUUAAAAAGGGCUUUUUGCUCAGUGGUAAAUCACCCCUGGGGGUUCAAUCCUGAGAACUAAAGGGAAAAAAAAAAACAGUGAAAAAGAGAUAUAUAUUAACAGCAACCAUAAGAAAUCUGGAGUGGCUACACUAAUGAUCAACAAAAUAGACUUUAUUUUAUUAAUUAGAUUAAUCAGUAAUAAAAGUGUCAGUCCAUCACAAACAAUAAUUAGAAGCAUAUAUACAUCUAACACCCAAACACCAAAUGACAUAAAGAUGAAACUUAAAAAAACAAAGAAAUAUACACACAAUAAUCUUAGUUGAAGACUUCAGGACUCCACUUUCACUAACGAAUAUGUUAAGCAAGUGAUCAACAAAGAAUAUCUGAACACCACCAUAAACUAUCCCAAUCAAAUGGAUAUCCAUAAACAUUUCUCUCAAGAGCAAAAUACACUUUUUUUUCUCAAAUGCAUAUGGAACAUUCUUCAGGAUACACACCAAAUGUCAGGCCACAAGACAAAUACUAAUAAGUUUAAAGGAACAGAAAAAGUUUCAAGGGCUGGUAUUGUAACUCAGUGGUAGAGCACUUGCCUAGCACAUGUGAGGCACUGGGUUCAAUCCUCAGCACCACAUAAAAAAAUAAAUUAAUUAAAUAAAGUUAUUUUUUUUAAAUGUUUCAAUUAUGUCCUCUGACCAAAAUGGAAUAAAAUUUUAGGAAUCAAUUACUAACUGAAGGAAAUUUGAGAAACUCACACAUUAAUGGAAACAAAACAUUACAGGAUAAUCACUGAAUCAAAGAAAAAUAAAAUAAAAUCAAAAUUUGAAAACACUUUCAGAUUAGUGAAAAUGGAGAGACAACACACCAAAACUACAGAGAUGCAAAUGAAGGAGCACUUAGAGGGAAAUAUAUAACUGUAAUACCUAUGUUAAAAAGAAAUAAAGAGGGCUGGGGUUGUGGCUCAAGGGCAGAGUACUCACCUAGCACAUACAAGGCCCUGGGCUCGAUCCUCAGCACCACAUAAAAAUAAAUAAACAAAAAUAAAGGUAUUGUGUCCAACUACUAAAAAAUAAAUAUUUUUUAAAAAGAAAAAAAUAAAGAUCUCAAGUGAAUAAUCUAAUUUUCCAUUAAGAAGAAAAAAAAGAAUGCCAUUGAUGACCCACACCUGCCAUCCCAGCAGCUCGGGAGGCUGAGGCAGGAGGAUUGCAAGUUCAAAGCCAGUCUCAGCAAAAAGUGAGGCACCAAGCAACUCAGUGAGACCCUGUCUCUAAAUAAAAUACAAAACAGGGCUGGGGAUGUGACUUAGUGAUCUGAGUGCCCCUGGGUUUAACUCCAAAAGAAGGAAAAAAGAGCAAAGUAACCAAGCAUACUGGUGGUUAAUUCAGCAAAUUAGCAACUUGGAAAGCAGAGAUAGGAGGAGGCCAAGUUCAGGGCCAAUCUCAACAAUCUAGCCAGACACUAUCUCAAAAUAAAAAAAAAUGAAAAGGGCUGGGGGUAUAGCUCCUGGGUUCAAUUCAAAAGAAGAGAGAGAUGCAAAAAAAGGAAGCAAGCAAACUAAAUGAGGAGGGGUGUUGCCGUGAAAGUAAGUGAAAUAGAGAAUAAAGAAGUGAUACAGAGCAUCAAUGAAACCCAAUGAUUCUUCAAAAAGAUGAACCAAAUGGGCAACUUAUCAGAGGAUUCACAAAAAUAUUACAAAAUAAAAAAUUUAAAACUCCAAUACCAGCAUCACAAAAUAAAAAGUAGGCAUAUUAUUUACUGUACAAUAAUAAAGUGUUUAAAAUGCAUUCAUUCACCACAUAAAGAUGUUUUAUGUACCAUGGUAGAUCCCUCCGAUUAUAAUGAAACUGAAAAAUUCCUAUUGCCUACUGACAGGAAGCCCUUGUAAUGUCAUGCAACAUUUUACUUUCAGGUUUAUGGUGAUGCUGGUGUAAACAUACCCAUAGUAUAAGAAUAUAGCACAUGCAGUUAUGUACAGUACAUGCUACUUGAUAAUGAUAAUAAACAACUGUUACUUGUUUAUGUACUUACUAUAAUUUUUAGCCUUACUUUAGGGUAUACUCCUUAAGCUUAUUUAAAAAAAAAAAACUAACUAUAAAAAUACCCUCUGAUUGGUCCUUCAGAAAA